CGCUUACCACUUUGUGAUUCAUGACUGGGGUGAAGUCGUAACAAGGUAACCGUACGGGAACCUGCGGUUGGAUCACCUCCUGA
rnacentral:rRNA from 1 species